rnacentral:rRNA from 1 species
AUUGAACGCUGGCGGCAUGCUUUACACAUGCAAGUCGAACGGUAACAGGCCGCAAGGUGCUGACGAGUGGCGAACGGGUGAGUAAUGCAUCGGAACGUGCCCAGUCGUGGGGGAUAACUGCUCGAAAGAGCAGCUAAUACCGCAUACGAUCUAUGGAUGAAAGCGGGGGACCGUAAGGCCUCGCGCGAUUGGAGCGGCCGAUGUCAGAUUAGGUAGUUGGUGGGGUAAAGGCUCACCAAGCCAACGAUCUGUAGCUGGUCUGAGAGGACGACCAGCCACACGGGAACUGAGACACGGCCCAGGCUCCUACGGGAGGCAGCAGUGGGGAAGUUUGGACAAUGGGGGCAACCCUGAUCCAGCAAUGCCGCGUGCAGGAAGAAGGCCUUCGGGUUGUAAACUGCUUUUGUACGGAACGAAACGGUCUGGGUUAAUACCCUGGGCUAACGACGGUACCGUAAGAAUAAGCACCGGCUAACUACGUGCCAGCCGCCGCCGUAACAC